rnacentral:rRNA from 1 species
GACGAACGCUGGCGGCGUGCUUAACACAUGCAAGUCGAACGGUAAGGCCCCUUCGGGGGUACACGAGUGGCGCACGGGUGAGUAACACGUGAGCAACCUGCCCUUGACUCUGGAAUAACAGUUGGAAACAGCUGCUAAUACUGGAUAUUCAUCGUCUCCUUCCUGGGGGGUGGUGGAAAGCUCCGGCGGUCAGGGAUGGGCUCGCGGCCUAUCAGCUUGUUGGUGAGGUAAUGGCUCACCAAGGCUUCGACGGGUAGCCGGCCUGAGAGGGCGACCGGCCACACUGGGACUGAGAUACGGCCCAGACUCCUACGGGAGGCAGUAGUGGGGAAUAUUGCACAAUGGGCGCAAGCCUGAUGCAGCAACGCCGCGUGCGGGAUGACGGCCUUCGGGUUGUAAACCGCUUUCAGUAGGGACGAAGGGUGACUGACGGUACCUACAGAAGAAGGACCGGCUAACUACGUG